AGAUUGAACGCUGGCGGCAUGCCUAACACAUGCAAGUCGAACGGGAGUAGCAAUACUCUAGUGGCGGACGGGUGAGGAAUACGUAGGAAUUUGCCCUUAAGUGGGGGAUAACCCGGGGAAACCCGGAUUAAUACCGCAUGACCUCGAAAGAGCAAAGUGGGGGAUCGCAAGACCUCACGCUUUUGGAGAAGCCUACGUCGGAUUAGCUAGUUGGUGAGGUAAUGGCUCACCAAGGCGACGAUCCGUAACUGGUCUGAGAGGAUGAUCAGUCACACCGGAACUGAGACACGGUCCGGACUCCUAGGGAGCAGCAGUGGGAAUAUGGACAAUGGGCGCAAGCCUGAUCCAGCAAUGCCGCGUGUGUGAAGAAGGCCUUCGGUUAGUAAGCUAACGUUUAAGUUAGGGAAAGUAAAAAACUCGUACUACUAACACAAGUGAGUCUUGAACGGUACCGAACAAGAA
rnacentral:rRNA from 1 species